ACCGCACGAAUCGCAUGAUAAACCUGAGGAACUCGUACCGAAACACCAAAUCAACACUAGCAUGCGGUUCGGCUAACAGGGACCGCAACCUACAGGGCACGACUCACCUGAAUUCAUUAGCAAUUUGGGACUGCCCCACGAAGUCGCGCACAAUCGAGGGCAGGUUCACGAGGUCGAUCAGGUUGGCCAGCUUCUUUGGGUUGUCGGCCACGGCCUUCU
rnacentral:lncRNA from 1 species